UUGUCUACAAGGCGGGAGGUGUUUCCACCAAUAUGGAUCCUUAUUUCCAAACAAAAUUGAGCCUCAAAGGUUGGGAUCAAGAAGGCUAGUGGGAAUUUAUCAAUCCUGCUCACGGAAAAGAGGAACCCCGCUGUUCUUUCCAGCCACUUCUUGCUUAAUUAUUUAAGUCUCUCCCAGGAGAACAGAGUUGUUGAGUGCCUGUAAACUUACAGAAUUUAUUGGCUGUGAGAGGAGGAACAUUUUAUUUCCUGAGAAAUCCUGUGGAGAGGACUACAGUGUCUGCAUCGAGGGAAUUAGUUAUCCUACUCUAUUCAGUUUUGGUCAGACCCUUUAUUCUGUAAGAUUCAAGAAUCAAUGCCAAAAAUUGAUACUAAGUUUAUUGAGCCAAUGUUUAUUGAUUUCAUCC